GAGAUCUAAGCAGCUGCCCUCUUGUGCCGUUCAGUGAACUAAAGUUGCAGUCGGUAAUCCAUCUCUUAUGGUAAAAGGGCCCGAACAGCAGCUAAGACCCACCCUGUAUAUGGUGAUGCCUCUGUUGAUGAAUCUAUUGCGGAAUUUAAUUAUGAAAAUAAUGAAGACACUGAAAUCAUAAACGUAACGGAUUGUAAAGGGAAAAAUACCAAAAUAUCAAAUUCAGCAUCAAGACUCAAUAAUGUAUUGAAAGAAAAACAUGACUUAAUUGCAAAAAAAUCUGUUCAAGAACAGUUAUCAAUUUGCGAAAAAGAGAAUUAUCCAUCAAUAU